rnacentral:rRNA from 1 species
AUUGAACGCUGGCGGCAGGCCUAACACAUGCAAGUCGAACGAGUGGCGGACGGGUGAGUAAUGUCUGGGAAACUGCCUGAUGGAGGGGGAUAACUACCGGAAACGGUAGCUAAUACCGCAUACCAUCAGAUGGGCCCAGAUGGGAUUAGCUUGUGGGUGGGGUAAAGGCCCACCAAGGCGACGAUCCCUAACUGGUAUGAGAGGAUGACCAGGCACACUGGAACUGAGACACGGUCCAGACUCCUACGGGAGGCAGCAGUGGGGAAUAUUGGACAAUGGGCGAAAGCCUGAUGCAGCCAUGCCGCGUGUAUGAAGAAGGCCUUCGGGUUGUAAAGUACUUUAAGCGGGGAGGCGUUACCAACAGAAGAAGCACCGGCUAACUCCGUGCCAGCAGCCGCGGUAAUAC